UNGUACGGAAUUAUUGGGCGUAAAGAGCUCGUAGGCGGUUUCGUCGCGUCUUUUGUGAAAGCCCGGGGCUUAACCCCGGGUGUGCAGUGGGUACGGGCAGACUAGAGUGCAGUAGGGGAGACUGGAAUUCCUGGUGUAGCGGUGGAAUGCGCAGAUGUCAGGAGGAACACCGAUGGCGAAGGCAGGUCUCUGGGCUGUUACUGACGCUGAGGAGCGAAAGCAUGGGGAGCGAACAGGAUUAGAUACCCUGGUAGUCCAUGCCGUAAACGUUGGGCACUAGGUGUGGGGGACAUUCCACGUUUUCCGCGCCGUAGCUAACGCAUUAAGUGCCCCGCCUGGGGAGUACGGCCGCAAGGCUAAAACUCAAAGGAAUUGACGGGGGCCCGCACAAGCGGCGGAGCAUGCGGAUUAAUUCGAUGCAACGCGAAGAACCUUACCAAGGCUUGACAUAUACCGGAUCGUUCCAGAGAUGGUUCUUCCCCUUUGGGGUCGGUAUACAGGUGGUGCAUGGUUGUCGUCAGCUCGUGUCGUGAGAUGUUGGGUUAAGUCCCGCAACGAGCGCAACCCUCGUUCCAUGUUGCCAGCACGUGAUGGUGGGGACUCAUGGGAGACUGCCGGGGUCAACUCGGAGGAAGGUGGGGAUGACGUCAAAUCAUCAUGCCCCUUAUGUCUUGGGCUUCACGCAUGCUACAAUGGCCGGUACAAAGGGUUGCGAUACUGUGAGGUGGAGCUAAUCCCAAAAAGCCGGUCUCAGUUCGGAUUGAGGUCUGCAACUCGACCUCAUGAAGUCGGAGUCGCUAGUAAUCGCA
rnacentral:rRNA from 1 species